CCCACUCCAUGCUUUGCUUGAAGAAGGUAGAUAUGGGUAACAUGUCAGCUUGCCUACCAAUCUUCAACUUCCUCACACUACACAUUGGGUUUUUAAUUAAUUUCUUCUAAUUUCUUUUUAUAUUCCCCUUUCUUGUAUUAUUAUUUAGGGUUUCGGAUUGUGAUCUCCACUUUCUUGUUUUAGGUUCGGUUCUCUUGAUCUGGCCAGAUUGUGUUGGGACUUAUUUAUCCAAUGAUUUCUAUCUAUUUAUUUCCACCGCAUUCUAGUUUUGAUAAUACUAUGCUUUUAUUGAUUACUAGUAGCAUAUAUGUAGAAAAUGCAUAAAUAUCAUUACUCGAAUUUAAACAAUUCAUUACAGGACGUAACAAAUUAUCGUUACAUUUUCUGUUUUUAUCGUCUCUGCUCUUACAGUACAAAGU